rnacentral:lncRNA from 1 species
AAAAAGGGAAAAUUAAUUGUAGAGGCGGGUGACGGCGUCACCCGCACCUGGAAAUAAUUUCUAGGAGCAGGUGAUAGUGUCACCCACCUUUGGAAAUCAUUUCUAGGUGCGGGUGAUGGCAUGACACACUCCUAGAAAUUGUUCUGUUCAAAAAAGUCAUAACUUUUUCAUACUAUUUCGGAUGAAGAUAAACUUUAUAUCAAAGUUGUAGAUCUCGACGAGAUAUAAAACUUUAUAGUUGACAAAUUUUUUAUUUAAGAUUGUUUGAUGGUUCAAAAUAUCAUUAUAAGCUCAUGAAAGAAAUACGUCCAGCCACGUCAUCGAUCCACGACUUCCAAACGAAGCAUUCUUAUUGGCCCAACCUCAGUCCAGAGUCCAGACUCCCUCUGUCCCUAUCUUAUCUUCUUGUCGGCCUCUCUGGCUCUCUCUCUUCUCCUCCCCCAUCUAUCUGUUUCCUCCCUCCUGCGAAGACUGGCGAGGUCCUUGGAGGCGCGGCCGGCCCUAGCUCGGCUGCCAUGGGCAGUGCAGGCGCACGGCGUGGCCGUCCCCUGCAGCGGGGCACAAGCACGCGCGGGCGCAUGGCGCAGCCAAUGCCUAAAGUGAG